CAAAUUUGGGAGGGGCCUGCGGUCGAUUAGCUGGUUGGUGGGGACAAAGGCCUACCAAGGCGAUGAUCGAUAGCUGUUCUGAGAGGAAGACCAGCCACACGGGAACUGAGACACGGUUCCGACUCCUACGGGGGGCAGCAGUGAGGAAUAUUGCGCAAUGGGGGCAACCCUGACGCAGCAACGCCGCGUGGAGGACGAAGGUUUUCGGAUUGUAAACUCCUUAUCUGGGGGAAGAGGAAGGACGGUACCCCAGGACGAAGACACGGCUAACUAGGUGCCAGCAGCCGCGGUAAUACCUAGGUGUCGAGCGUUAUCCGGAAUUACUGGGCGUAAAGGGUGCGCAGGCGGCGAUACAAGUCUGGCGUGAAAGCUUCUGGCUUAACUGGGAGAGGACGUUAGAAAACUGUAUGGCUAGAGUGAAUGAGAGGGGGGCGGAAAUCCCGGUGUAAGUGGUGGAAUGCGUAGAUAUCGGGAAGAACACCAGAGGCGAAGCGGCCUCUUGGCAUUUUACUGACGCUGAGG
rnacentral:rRNA from 1 species